rnacentral:siRNA from 1 species
AGAUGAUAGUGAACCAAAGAUGGU